rnacentral:rRNA from 1 species
CCUACGGGAGGCAGCAGUGGGGAAUAUUGCACAAUGGGCGCAAGCCUGAUGCAGCAACGCCGCGUGGGGGAUGAAGGCCUUCGGGUUGUAAACCCCUUUUAGCAGGGAAGAAGCGAAAGUGACGGUACCUGCAGAAAAAGCGCCGGCUAACUACGUGCCAGCAGCCGCGGUAAUACGUAGGGCGCAAGCGUUGUCCGGAAUUAUUGGGCGUAAAGAGCUCGUAGGCGGUUUGUCGCGUCUGCUGUGAAAACCCGAGGCUCAACCUCGGGCCUGCAGUGGGUACGGGCAGACUAGAGUGUGGUAGGGGAGACUGGAAUUCCUGGUGUAGCGGUGGAAUGCGCAGAUAUCAGGAGGAACACCAAUGGCGAAGGCAGGUCUCUGGGCCACAACUGACGCUGAGGAGCGAAAGCGUGGGGAGCGAACAGGAUUAGAUACCCUGGUAGUCCACGCCGUAAACGGUGGGCACUAGAUGUGGGGCUCUUUCCAUGAGUUCCGCGUCGCAGCUAACGCAUUAAGUGCCCCGCCUGGGGAGUACGGCCGCAAGGCUAAAACUCAAAGGAAUUGACGG